CCCCAUGUUCUAAUUUUAGCUAUGGCCGCCAUCUUGGUUUGUUGGCCGAGUUACCAGACACAUUUUUUAAACAAAAUACCCCAAUGAUGAUUAUGGCCAAGUUUGGAUUAAUUUGGCCAGUAGUUUCAUCAGAGAAGAUUUUUCUAAAAGAUUACUGAGAUUUACGAAAAAUGGUUAAAAAUUUACUAUAAAGGGCAAUAACUCCUAAAGAGGUCAACUGACCAUUUUGGUCAUGUUGACUUAUUUGUAGAUCUUACUUUGCUGAACAUUAUUGUUGUUUACAGUUUAUCUCUAUCUAUAAUAAUAUUCAAGAUAAUAACCAAAAACAGCAAAAUUUCCUUAAAAUUACCAUUUCAGGGGCAGCAACCCAACAACGGAAUGUCCGAUUCAUCUGAAAAUUUCAGGGCAGAUAGAUCUUGACCUGAUGAACAAUUUUACUGUGUGUCAGAUUUGCUCUAAAUGCUUUGGUUUUUGAGUUAUAAGCCAAAAACUGCAUUUUACCCCUAUGUUCUAUUUUUAGCCAUGGCGGCCAUCUUGGUUGGUUGGGCGGGGCACCGGACACAUUUUUUAAACUAGAUACCCCAAUGAUGAUUAUGGCCAAGUUUGGUUAAAUUUGACCCAGUAGUUUCAGAGGAGAAGAUUUUUCUAAAAGAUUACUAAGAUUUACGAAAAAUGGUUAAAAAUUGACUAUAAAGGGCAAUAACUCCUAAAGUGGUCAACUGACCAUUUUGAUCAUGUUGACUUAUUUGUAGAUCUUACUUUGCUGAACAUUAUUGCUGUUUACAGUUUAUCUCUAUCUAUAAUAAUAUUCAAGAUAAUAACCAAAAACAGCAAAAUUUCCUUAAAAUUACCAUUUCAGGGGCAGCAACCCAACAACGAAAUGUCCGAUUCAUCUGAAAAUUUCAGGGCAGAUAGAUCUUGACCUGUUGAACAAUAUUACCCCAUGUCAGAUUUGCUCUAAAUGCUUUGGUUUUUGAGUUAUAAGCCAAAAACUGCAUUUUACCCCUAUGUUCUAUUUUUAGCCAUGGCGGCCAUCUUGGUUGGUUGGGCGGGUCACCGGACACAUUUUUUAAACUAGAUACCCCAAUGAUGAUUAUGGCCAAGUUUGGUUAAAUUUGACCCAGUAGUUUCAGAGGAGAAGAUUUUUCUAAAAGAUUACUAAGAUUUACGAAAAAUGGUUAAAAAUUGACUAUAAAGGGCAAUAACUCCUAAAGUGGUCAACUGACCAUUUUGAUCAUGUUGACUUAUUUGUAGAUCUUACUUUGCUGAACAUUAUUGCUGUUUACAGUUUAUCUCUAUCUAUAAUAAUAUUCAAGAUAAUAACCAAAAACAGCAAAAUUUCCUUAAAAUUACCAUUUCAGGGGCAGCAACCCAACAACGAAAUGUCCGAUUCAUCUGAAAAUUUCAGGGCAGAUAGAUCUUGACCUGUUGAACAAUAUUACCCCAUGUCAGAUUUGCUCUAAAUGCUUUGGUUUUUGAGUUAUAAGCCAAAAACUGCAUUUUACCCCUAUGUUCUAUUUUUAGCCAUGGCGGCCAUCUUGGUUGGUUGGCCGGGUCACCGGACACAUUUUUUAAACUAGAUACCCCAAUGAUGAUUGUGGCCAAGUUUGGUUAAAUUUGGCCCAGUAGUUUCAGAGGAGAAGAUUUUUGUAAAAGUUAACGCAGGACGACGACGGACGACGACGACGACGACGACGACGGACGCCGGACGCCAAGUGAUGAGAAAAGCUCACUUGGCCCUUUGGGCCAGGUGAGCUAAAAAU
rnacentral:lncRNA from 1 species